GUCCACGCUGUAAACGAUGGGCACUAGGCGUCGGGGGGAGCGACCCUCCCGGUGCCGUCGCUAACGCAAUAAGUGCCCCGCCUGGGGAGUACGGCCGCAAGGUUGAAACUCAAAGGAAUUGACGGGGGCCCGCACAAGCGGUGGAGCAUGUGGUUUAAUUCGAUGCAACGCGAAGAACCUUACCUGGGCUUGACAUGUACGUGAAAGCCGGUGGAAACACCGGGCCUCCUUCGGGACGCGUACACAGGUGCUGCAUGGCUGUCGU
rnacentral:rRNA from 1 species